AACCCACUGAGCUCAUCAGGUGCUUUGGUUGGAAGAUCUGUUGCUAAUGCUGAAUCGUCGUCUUUCAAACGUGGUGUAGCCUGCCACGAAUGUUGCGCUACCCCCCUGUGCAACAAGGCUCUAUGUAACCAUCCGUGGCGUACGUACGAUUGAGCGAAAUUGAGCGUUAUCAGACUAACACUACAAACAUUCAACAUCAUACGAAUACAGAUAAAUAUUCUCGCGAAUAUUCAUUUCGACAAAGAAUUCGUUAACUAUCAAUUGACAACGUACAAAGCAGUCCAACAACGGGUGUAAUAAUACCACCUGUCAUUGCAAAACCUAUUUAAGGUCAUUCUAAAAACGAUGUUAUGUAUGCAUUAUACUUGGCUGAAGACUGUCAUGAAACUUUGUGUCGGUGUCAGAUAAGAAAUGAUUCAUCGAUGACUUUAUCGUGUACAUAAUCUACCACCAGUAUGUUUUCAUUAAGAUGUCUUAAGUCUCAUCAUAAUUAUAAUUUGUAUUUCCUCUUUGAUAUUAUUGUGAAUAAUUAAUCUGUAUUGCAGUUAUUUUUAAACAUAGUAUUGAAGACGUUUACUUGCUACAAUAGACUUGGAUUCAAUAUAAUAAUGGACUGAAUUUGUAAAUAGCACAUGAACAUUGUCCUUAAUAAUAGCGGCAACCUGUACUGACGACCAAUCUGUGGACUGUGCCAAGAUUCACAUCUUAUUCAAUGUGUGUGCAGACAUUCAGAAGGCUAAGCUGGUUUGUCCAAGGCUCUGCAACCUCUGUAACGUAGUCGAUGCUAAUUGGAACUGGUGGUCAUCAUGGAGCAGAUGUGAUGUCACGUGCGCAAAUGGAACACAGACACGUCAUCAAACUUGCUCAGAUCCUGCGCCUCAAAACGGCGGCAUAGAUUGUGUGGGAAUAGGAACCGAAAGUCAAACUUGUACCCUAGAUCCAUGCCCAGUCCACGGUGGCUGGAGCCUCUGGUCACCAUGGGGAUCGUGCUCAGUCACGUGCGAUGUUGGAAUGCAGAGACGGGACAGGUCAUGUUCUAAUCCAUAUCCUGCAAAAGGUGGAGACCACUGCUAUGGAGAUUCCAGAGAUGAUCAGAUUUGCUAUGAGCCUGGAUGCAUAAGUAUACUUGUCUCUUGUUUACGUACAUUGUAUAACUGUACAUUUAGCGUCAAUGCUAACUAUUUUCUCCUGAACAUUCCAUUGGUCAAAUAUGGAAGA